GAUAUGAACUCUCCGAAAAAAUUACGCUGUUAUCCCUAAGGUAAGUUAAUCUUAUAAUCAAAAAUUUUGGAUCAAAAAAACAUAUAUUAAUGAAUAAAAAUAUUAAAAGUUAAAUAAAUUUUAAUGUCACCCCAACAAAACUUUAUAUUCUAAAAAAUUAUUUUAUAAACAAAAAACAAAAAUUAAUAAAUAAAGUUAACUUCUAUAGGGUCUUCUCGUCCUAUAAAAAAAUUUUAGCUUUUUAACUAAAAAAUUAAAUUCAAAAUAAUUGAGAAAAGAAAGUUUAUUUUUCAUCAAACCAUUCAUACUAGCCUUCAAUUAAAAGACAAAUGAUUAUGCUACCUUCGUACAGUUAAAAUACCGCAGCCUUUUAAUUCAAAAAAAUCAAUGGGCAGGCCUGAUCUUAAAUUAAAAUCAAAAGAAC
rnacentral:rRNA from 1 species